UUAAAAAGCUCGUAGUUGAAUUUCGGGAUUAGUACGCUGGUCGUGCCUUCGGUACGUACUGGUGUUACUGAUUUCUACCUUCUGACGAACCAUCAUGUCAUUAAUUUGGUGUGGUGGGGAAUCAGGACUGUUACUUUGAAAAAAUUAGAGUGUUUAAAGCAGGCUCGCGCUUGAAUACAUUAGCAUGGAAUAAUGAAAUAGGACGUUGAUCCUAUUUUGUUGGUUUCUAGGAUUGACGUAAUGAUCAAUAGGGAUAGUUGGGGG
rnacentral:rRNA from 1 species